GAUGAAGAACGUAGCGAAAUGCGAUAAGUAAUGUGAAUUGCAGAAUUCAGUGAAUCAUCGAAUCUUUGAACGCACCUUGCACCCCUUGGUAUUCCGAAGGGUAUGCUCGUUUGAGUGUCAUUGUACUCUCACACUUCUAAUUCCUUUCGGGAUUGGGAGCGGUGGACUUGGGUGUUGCUGCUUUAGUUGUGGCUCACCUCAAAUAAGUUAGUGCAACUCUUGGUUGGACAUAGUACGGCGUGAUAAGUGUCUUCGCCGGCGCCUCUGUAAGGAGGGUGGCCGAUCGGGAGCUCUGUGCUUCAAACCGUCUUCGGACAAUCUUUGACAACUUGACCUCAAAUCGAGUAGGACUACCCGCUGAACUUAAGCAUAUCAAUAAGCGGAGGA
rnacentral:misc_RNA from 1 species